rnacentral:lncRNA from 1 species
ACAGAUACAGUGUUCCAGAUUGCCAAAGUCAUAGCAGAUGCUUUCAAUGAUACAAAGCUGAUAAUGAAGCCAGUAACUACAGGAGCAAAUAACUUGCAGGUUAAAUCAAUCCGUCUUAAUACUGAGUUCAUCCUUGUCAGUACAUCAGGAGGGUGCCCUUCUGACAUCACCACUACCCUAAAAUUUGAAAACAACCUUAACAGAAUUAGAUUGACUCAAUAAACAAGCACAAGAAAUUUCAGGAUCAUACAAUCCUUUGAGGUUGAAAAUGAAAUCCUAACAACUAAAAUAAUUAUAAAACGUUGUCCACUUCUUUUUCUUAUAAGCAUGUAUGAAAUUACCACUCUCUUUCGAUCAAGAUGGAACCGGCAAGAGUGGAGAGCACACCGACAGCUCCAGAGAUAUUGGUUAAUGCGACAAUAGUGAUGAAAGCUGCCAAAUUGGUAUGCUUCAAGCUUGAGAAGAACAGUAAUCCUACCACUGCAGCCCCAGCAACCACAAAAGAGAGAUUUUGUGUCCACAACCAAAGUUGGAGAACCUGCCAAAGGAUGAUCCCCAUGUAAGCUUCUCAAAUGGUCUAAAUUGAUUAUUGGUGGCCAGUGUAACAUGCAGGACCGAGUAAACCCACCUUAAUUGAUUGUUGCAUUAGUUAAGCUAACCAGGAUUUUCAGUUAAAUUUCUCAAAAUAAGUUUUGCUUUCAAAAGGUAGUUUUGAAAAAUCCAUACAUCAGGAUGUUUUCCAGCUGAACUGAUAUCCAAAUAGUGUCAAAAGCACAAAGAAUAGAGGUUGAGCAAACCUUUACAUAUGUUAAUCUAUCCAACCACUGUCCAAUGCUAGGACCAAGGAAAGCAGUAGAAGCAGACUCCACCACACCAUAAACAGCAGCAAGUAGCAAAGAGUUGGGCCAUAUAUUGAUCAUGUACAAACCAACAGAAAACUCCCACAUUCUGCAACAAGAAAAGAUCCAAAAGGAACCCAGUAUUAAAUUAUGCAAGAAUUAUGAGAAGCAUGUGGCUGAGAUAACAACCCCAUUCAUCAUGUUACAACUAUAUUAAGUACUAGGUAAUUUUGCGUCCGGAUUGAAUGUUCCUAACCAUCCAAUCUACCAACCUCAAAUAUUUUUAUGAUCAAUGGUCAAUAAAAGCCUCAAAUGAUUAUUGGGGCACUGUCUAGACUCUAGUAGCAUUUGAAGCGAGAAAAUUGUAAAUUUGUAGCAUUUAUAGGAUUAGAAUAGCCUGUUUCUGAUGUUAAUUGGGAUUUCAUACCAAAGACAUAACAGAACCACUCCAUUUUCAUAAAAGAACUUCAAAAUUCACCCAGCAAGCUGAUUGCUUGGGAACACCAGGUCCUUUCCCGUGUUACUAAUGUAGCCUUUACAUGCAAAGAAAGGGAAAUUAUUUUCCUCUUUUUCUUCCUCUUCCUCACAAAUAUGUCACAUUACACUUCAAAGAUUUCAAUUCAGCAGCCCACACGGGCCUGGGAUCAGCCUCAAUAAAUGAGUUGACUCAAAAAUCCAACACUAUGAAUAUAUGUAUAUAAGAUUUUAUCAAACAAUUUAUGUUCAUGAAUUGGAGUUGCUAAUUGCCUUCGAAAUGAAAACCCAUUAAAGAUCUGAGACAGCAGAAAAAAAAAAAUAAAAAAAAUCAACACCUAAAUUGUAAAAAACCAUACAAAAGAAAAGAAAUUUCGAACUCGUUUAGACUGAUGAUUAUCAGAAACCCACUUAUGUGAGAACAAAUAAUUUUGAAUUAUGUGAAAAAUGAGAAGUAAAUCCACAGAAAUCUGAAAAUAAUUCAAAAACCCCAAAAAUGUAAUAGUAGGAAACGCAGAAACACUCUCAAUGAACCCAGACAUUACCAUUGACGAAAAGGAAAGUACCCACAUAAUAACAUCAUAAGAUUACCCAUUUCCAGUUAAAAAUAAUCCAAAUUCCCAGCUAUAUUUGGUUUUGAAAAUUUUGAGGGAAAGAAAAUAGAGUGAAAAAUAUUUUUUUUUUAAAUCUGAUUUUUCAUAAAUACAAAAAUAAAAAUAAAAUUGAAUAAAUCUGAUUUUUCAUAAAUACAAAAAUAAAUAAAAAUGAGAAGUACUUUUUUUCUUUUUUUCAAACUUUCCUCAAAAAAAGCUCCCUACAUUUUUUCCUUUUUUUUUCUCUUCACAAUUUUUCCCUUUUUUUUUCACUAUUUUUUAAUAGUAUCUAAAAUUAUCUUUGUUUAACAUUUUUUUUCCCUUUUGUUUAAUAUUACAUUGGCUAAGCAAAAUGGAUGAGAAAGAGAGGAGGAUGAAUCAAUGUUGAAAGAGAAAUAAACCUGGCACCCCAUCUAGCCAAAAAAUGGCCAACAUACAGAUAUAUGAUGAGAGAUGACGGCAAGAGAGGGGGCUGAGCAGGUUGCUGUUCUUCUUCUUCUUCUUCUUUGGGAUCAGGAAGUGGCUCCCUCGUCCUCAUGUCUCCUUCCAUUUGAGGUUCUUCUUCUAUCCGCUUUGUUCAACCUUUAUGAUGAUGGUGGUCUCUCCUUCAUGAUGGUGGUGAGUGUAGUGACCAUGCUUCUUUAGUCUUCAUCUUGAUGAUGAAAGUGAAAAUGCAUCGUCAGUUUCAUGAAUACUAAAAUACGGAUGUAUGCUAAAAUACGGAUGUGUUAUGUUGGGGUUCCUCUCCAUGUGUGUUACGUGGGGGGUCACUUUCAAGCUCAAGACCUGUCGAGGACAAAUAUGUAACCUACUCGGGAUCAUUUCGUUCAAGCGAAGAUAAGUUCCGUCUAGCACCAUGAGAGAGUUCCCUUAGACGAAAUAAGCAUGAAUUCCCAAAUGGGAAAUGACCAUCUAGUCAAGUCUUAAAGAUUUCUGGCAUACGUGAUCAUUCACGCCUGACAUCUAAGCGACCGACGAGACUCCACUUAGCCCACAAGUUCAUGUCCAUUAAUUGUUGCACAUAAUCUCAAACGUUGACAAGCUGAAUGGAUAGGCAACUCUUGACACGUCAACAGACCUAUCAGUAGUCCUUAUUUGAGAUGAUUGCCCAACCGCCUUAAGGACAAUCAUCAUUACAAAAAGAGGAAGAGUGCAUAGUUAGCACUACAAUGUCCACGACUCUAUAUAAACCCUCCAAAAAACACGAGCAAGGUACGCGUGCACACAUAUGCCUAUUUUUUCCCUCAAAAUAGUUAGAGCUACUCUUGUUUGACUUAAGCUUUAAAGGGACGUACCCGGAUCACCCGUUCAGACAUCUUUUUGUGUAGGAAAGAAGUUCGUCUAGCUCUAAUACAACUGAACGGACUCUCCAAGUAGUACGAAAAAGGGAAGAAGUCCGUCUAACUUCAGUAAGGCUAGAUGGACCUAACUCUAGUUGGCUUAGCUUUAACAUUAUUGAUAGAGAUGGUUUGCUGCUUCCACAGGGAACGAAGGAGUUCAUUGAACGUACAUGGACAGGCAAGGGGUUUUGGAAGCGUGGAAAUAACAUUGACCUACACUAUCGACUUGGUUAAGAAAGGAAAAAUAACUACACCCCUUUUGUUUUCUUUUACAUUCAUUUUCCGAGAAAAUAAAUAAAUUUAAAAUCAAUAAAUAUUUUCAUAUAUCACUUUAAACUUAUUUUGUUAAUUUUAUUCCUUUGAUAUAAAAAUCAAAUAAUUUUAAAAACCAUUUCUUUUCCUGUUAUAUUAAUCUUAUGUUCGGAUCGAAAAAUAUUAAAGAAGAAAAAAAAUAUUAAAAAAAUAAUUUUUUAUGUUUGAUUUCAUAAUAAGAAAUACAAAAGAAAAUAAAAUAUAAUUAAAUUUAUAAAAAAAAAUUUAUAUAUUUUUAAAAUAUUUGAUUUUUUUAUAAUAGAAAAAAAUUGAGUAAAAUAAAUUUGAAGAAUCAUAUUAAAAAACUUAUUAAGAUUAUAUUUUAUUUCUGAAAAAUAAUGUAAAAGAAAAUAAUUUUUUCAUUCUGGUUUUAAUAUAAAAAAUAGGAAAAAAAAUUAAAUAUAAUUAAAAUUAGAUAAAAAAUUAUAUAUUUUUAAAUUAUUUAAUCUUCACCUAGAGGAAAAAUAAAUGAAAUAAAUUUGAAGUAAGGAAUAAAAUAAUUUAUUAAUUUUAAAUAUAUAUUUUUUAUUUUUCUUCACUUUUUUUUUCAUUUAAUUUUUAUCUCCAUUUUUUUCUUAAACAUUUUCCUUCAUAUUUUCUAAAAACCAAACAUCACCUAAGUUUAAACUUUUUUUUUUUUCAUUUCUUCUACUUUUCCUCUUUAUUUUCUUUCUCUCACAUUUUUCUUUAAAUUUUCUAAGAACCAAACAGAGCUACAAGAAUUAAACAAAAUCUACAUGUAUGGAGUUUUUGUUUUUGGAUGAGGUAAAACACAAUUUAUAAAUUAUUUUUCCAGACAACAACGUUGAACUUGAUUUCUCCGAAAAUGUCUAAGAAUGGUUUGUCGCAUUAGGAUUUUUUAUAAAUAUACCGUUAUUGGGGAAAGUAAUUUUUAAAAUGCUGUAGAUUGGAAAAUAAUUUCAAUUCUAAGGCAUUUUUUUACACGUAGGAUGAGAGUGAAAAAAAAGUAGCAUUUUCUAAUUGAAAAGAUGUGCAAACCCAUUUCCUCGCCGUUUUCUCCUCUUCUAUGCGUCAAAACUCAGAAAACCCAUUUCCCCGUACACUGAUCAUGGAGUGGAGCUCCUUGCAUCAACACAAUAGAAAGGAAGUGAAGUGCAGAUCUGAGACACCCAUUGCCUUUUCGGUAAGUUUUGUGGUUAUAUUUGGUGGUGUGGUUGUGUUUGGUUACCGAGAAAGUGUGGUAAAGUUGAAAAAAAAUAAAGUUUUCUGUUUUUUUUUUUUUUUACAAUGAAACCGAGUAGACUAAAAAUUAUGGAGAAAGUUUUCAUUUUUUUUGUGGUUCGGCUUGUUGUGAUUCUGUUUGGUUGCCAAGAAAGUGUGGGAAAGUUGAAAAUUUUGAGGUUCUGCUUGUGGGUGAGCUUGUUGUGAUUCUAUUUGCUAUCUGUUAAUAUUUUAACUACUGCAUUGGCAUGGAUUUGUUUCAUCUCAAACUAUGACCCAGUUAUUGAUUAACUGAGACAACCAUUAGUUGAUAAUGCAUGGAAAUUUGAUGUUACUGUGUGCAAGGUUUGAAAUGUCGAAAAAUUUCGUCGCAUAUCGGCCGGCUCCGACACAAUAUUCGUCACCGACGGAAAUUUCGAUAAUUUUUCGAAAAUAUCGUCGGUAUUUUUACCGAUUUUUCGGGGAAUUUCCCGAUAUUUCCUAUCAGUCCAGCCGCGCACAGGAUACAAAAUCUGUCCAUUUUUUUAUUUUUUUAUUUAAAAACAUAAGAUGCUAUUUGGUAAUCUGAUCAUGAUGUUUUUAUCGGUAUUUUUAACGAUUUUUCGGGAAAUUUCCCGAUAUUUCCUACCAGUCCAGCCGCGCACAGGACACAAAAUCUGUCCAUUUAAAAAAAAAAAAAAAGCAUAAGAUGCUAUUUGGUAAUUUGAUCAUGAUUUGCAGGAAAGGUUGUGUUUUUCAAUCUGGCUAAAAAAUCGUGGAUUUAGGGUUCGUGAAAUUUUAAUCCAAUGGCACAAAAGCAAAGGAGACCCCCAGAACAGGUCCAGAAAACAAGCAAAAAAAAAAAAAAGCAAUUUUUUUGGUUUUCCUUGGGGUUUUUGCAUGGAUUUUCUCGGAAAUCAAACGAGGAUGAAUUUUCCCGGAAAUCAAAUGGGGGAUAGAUUUUCUUGGGAAUCAAACGGGGGUUGCAAAAAAAAAAUAAUAAUAAGAUGAUUAGAUUAGUACCUGCGAGGAUUGAGAGUGGCAGGGGAAAAUGGGUCCUUUUUUAGGAUUCUCUCGUCUGGAGGGCAACUUCAGAAAAGGGGAGAAGUGGGUCACCCUUAGAACAAGCAAAAAAAAAAGAAAAAAAAAAAAAACAAUUUUUUUUAGUUUUCCUUGGGGUUUUGCAUGGAUUUUCUCGGAAAUCAUACGAGGAUGAAUUUUCCCGGAAAUAGAAUGGGGGAUGGAUUUUCUUGGGAAUCAAACGAGUUGCAAAAAAAUAUAAUAAUAAUAACAUGGUUAGAUUAGUACCUGCGAGGAUGGAGAGUGGCAGAGGAAAAUGGGUCCUUUUUUAGGAUUCUCUCGUCCGGAGGGCAACUUCAGAAAAGGGCUUCUUGAUGCCCGAGUGAGAGAAGGGGCAACUUCAGGUGAGAGAAGUGGGUGGCCCAUAAAAAAAAAGAAAAAAAAAAAAGAAACAAAUCAUGAGAACAAUUUUUCUCUCUUUCGAAUAUCAUUAUUUACUUUUAUGGGGGAUUUGAACCUUGAAUUAGGUUCCCUGGCUACCAAUGAACCAUAUGAUGCUCUUUGAUAAUAUAUAUUCAAUUUAAAUUUGUUUAAGGUUCAUCAUUAAAAAAAACUUAAUUUUAAUUAUUUUAUUUUAAAAUAUAUUUAAUUGAUUAAUAAAAAUAUAAAAAUUAAUAUUAUAAUUUUUUAAUAAGUCUUUUUUAUGUUAUUUAUAUAAUAAUUAAAUAUAAAAAAAUAGAAAUAUUAAAAAAAGUAUAUAUGUAUCAUCAUUUAUUUCACAUUAUUAAAUGCAUUUGAAUUAAAUAAAUUAUAGUUUUAAUAUUAAAUAUAUCAUAAUCUAUCCCAUUAAUUCUAUUCUAAAAAGUUACUAUGAUUUACUUUUAAAUUUUGAAUGUUUUUAUUUUAAAAUAUUAAAAAUAUAUAUUUAUUUAAAAAAAACUAAAAUAUAAAUAAUAAUGAUAAUAAUAAAUUUCUAAUAUUUUAUAAAUUAAAAUUAAUUUGAUAAAAUAAAUAAUAAAUUAUAUAUUAAAAUUGAUAUAUUCUUCCUUAUAGAUAUUUUUUUCAUAAAAAUAUCUAUAUGAAUUAUAUUUAUAAAAUAACUUUAAAAUGUGAAUUUUUAUUUAUUUUGUAAUUUUUUAUUUUUAUUUUUAAAAAAAAAGACUUAAGUGAAAAUUUCAUAUAAUUAUCAAAUGAUCUUCAACCAAAAAUAGUAUACACAAUUAUUUGAAUUUGCUUAAUGAAUUGCGAGUAUGUCCACAAGAUUUGGAAUAGUAGCUAUUUUUGCUUGUUUUACUAAUUUUUCAUGAUAAAUUAUUAUUGCUCUAUGUAAUGUAUGUCAUGUAUAACACCGAUAUAGAGCCCUUUUUUUAAGUUACAUUUGAAUAUUCAAAACAAUUAUGCUUUGAUUUUCUUAAAUAAGACAAACUAGUAUAAGUUUUCCAACAAAAGUUGCAUAAUAUUUCAUUGGAGACAUUUUCAUGUCUUUUAAUUAAGUUGGUGUAAAAUUGUAUUUUGCUAAUAAAGAAUAUUUGAUUAUGUAAAGUUCGCAAUUGUAAAAAAGGAAUAAUUUAAUUAAGAUAAUCACUCACAAGGGGGUGGAUUGGGUAUUAAAACUUUUUUAAAAAUAAUGAUAUGGGAAGGAUAAUGAAUAAAUAAUGAGAAAUAAUGAGAAAUGCGAUAAAAAGAUUGCAAACUCUUUUAUAAUGGUUUAACAAGUAACUUACAUUCACUCUCUUCCAACUCCUAAUUGAGUGGGGAUUCCAUUAUCUUUAAGACUUGAAUCACAAGCCUUUAAUAUCUACACUUAGAUUCUAAAGUUUCAAUAGACUUUCACCAUUUUUUUGAGUAAUUAAUCUAUUUGAAUAACUUCUCUCACAAUAGGUAGGUAAGUAGGAUAAAUUUAUGAACUUCUCGCAUAGUAGCAAAUUAAGUUCUCAAUACAAAAAAGAACUAGAAUGAACUUGAAGGUGCACAAGCAAGAAAGAACUAGGAUGAACUUGAAGGUACACAAGAAGAUUUGCAGGUUAAAAAUUGAAUGCACUUUGGAAGAGCUUUGAAUGUGAAGAAGGAUAACUUUUCAAUUUAUCAAUAAAUGCUUAAAACACAUCAAUAUAUAUUUUUCCAGUUCAAGGACCCCAAAAGCCACAAACAAGGCUUGAUCGAUUGAAUAAUCGGUUCAUUAAUUGUGCAUUUUAAUGCACAUACAACUUACCAUUGGGGUCCAAACCCUUAAUUGAUUCAAUUGGUCCUUAAUAGGUCCAAGCAAUCCUCAACUGGUUAAACAUAUACUUCAAAUGAGAGAGAAGGUGCAAAGUACACCUGGAUCAAUCAAGCCUAACUAGCUCAAUUAGUUCCUCCCAACUUUGAUUAAUUGUGUUGUAAAGUAAUUAAAUAGCCCGAUUUAAAGUCUAAAACCUCCAAUAACCUAUAUUUGGUUUCUUAAAACCUUUUAAGAUAAGUUUAAAAUGAAUUUGAUUCAAUGUUUUGAUCAAAAAUAAGAAACCAUUGAUUAAGGAUGGAUGAUUUCAGAAUUUUAAGUGUAUGAAAAAGAUUUAGACUCAAAGGCAACUACCAAUACUGAUCUUAUAAUAAAUCUUAAGUCACUUUAAGUUUUCAUGGAUCCCAAAUCUUUAUGGUAUCAAUUUUCUUUUAAGGUUGCUUCGACUUUCUUUGAAUUUACAAAAAUAAAACUAAAAUUUAACAACUUGAUUUAAACCAUUAACAACCUUAACCUUGUUUUGUGAUUAUUAAAACUCAUUUAGGAAAAUUGUUGUGUAAGAGCUAACUCCAAACCGUGUAGGUAUUGUUCGCUUUGGACUUAAAGGAACCCUCACUAAUUUAAAACAUUUUUACAAGGUUAAGAAAGAUCCAUACUUAUAUAGUGUCAUGAAUUUUCUCAUUUAUUCAAUAUGAGAUAUCACAAACACCUCUCAAUGCAAACAUAACAUCCUCAUUAUGUGUCACGGAAUUAUAAAACAAACCCUCACAUUGAGGUCGAGGAUUGACUGUGAUACUAUUUGUAACAACUCGUAUCCAAUCAUAUAAAUAAUAUUCACUUUGAGGAUAAAAGUGUCAUCACAACUUUAAAACGUGUCUAUAAGAUUAAAAGAGACUCAUAUUUAUAGUGUCUAAAACUCUCUCUUUUAUCCGAUGUAAAAUAUCACACCUUGAAAAUGUUUGAUGGGCUUGUUUGGCAUAAUCCACAUCCCAUGUGUAUGUGUAUAAUGUUCUCAUUAGAUAUUUACCAUAAUUAGACAAUAUGUUUUAAUAAAAUCUUAUUAGAAAAAUAUUAUUAACCUAGUGAGACAACUAUUAUGAAAUCCAAAAGUCAAAACCAUAAAGAAGGCAAAAAAAAAAAAAAAAAAAAAAAUGAUUGGUGACUAAAAAAUUUUGAGUUCGGGAUAUGAAAAUGAUAUCCCCUUUGGUUGGUGUAAUAAUAAUAAUAAUAAUAAUUAUUAUUAUUAUUAAAAUUAAAAAUAUAAGUAUUUUAAUAUUUGAUAUUUUUUAAAUAAAAAAUUAUUGUAUUCUAAUUUUUGGUAUUAAAAAAAUAUAAAAUCUAUCUCAUAUUUAAUACUAUUUGAAAAUUAUUUUAUGAUUUAUAAUUUAAGAAAUAAUUUUUUGUUCUUUGAUAAUGAUGUUCAUGAUUAAAAUAUUUAAAUUUUAUAAAUAAAAUAAUAACAUAUUAUGUUAAUAUAUAUAUAUAUAUAUAUAUAUUAGAUAUUAUAUUAAAUAAUACUAUAUAUCAAAGUAAAAUUUAUUUAUUUUAAUCAAAACCUUUGGUGGUUCAAAAUGAGUGAUAUGAAAAGAAAAAAAUUCUUCUUAUAUAAUCAUUUGAAAAAAAAAGAAAAAGAAAAUGGAAACUCACUUGUUCAAAAUUAAAUUUAUUUUUAAAAUUUUGAAUUUUUUUUUUUAAAAGUAAAUAUUUUAAAAUAUUUUCUUUUAUUAAAAAAAUUAUUUCAAAUUAAUAAAUAAAAGGGAUAGAUUCUAAGAUAAAGAGUAAAUAUUUUUAUUUAAAAAUUUAAAAAUAUUCAAAAAAAGAAUAAGUAUUUUGUUUUUUGUUUUUAAAGUUUAUUUAAUAAAUUAAUCAUCAUAUACACUUUAUUUUUAUAUUUCUUGAUUUUUUUUAAAUCAAAGAAAUUAACAUUUUGAUUUUUUUUUAUAUAUAAUCAUAUUUUUUAUUAUAAAAAUAACGAAAAUAAAAAAUUUAAGUGAAAUAAAAUCAUUAAUGAUUUCCUUUUCUAAAGUUCAAUUCUUUAGAAAAGGUUAAAUACAAUUCAAUUAAUUUAAGAAAAAGAAAUUAAAUUGAUUUUAUAUCAUCAAAAGCAUUAAUUUAGGAAUGUACAAUCUUAUAUCAUGACCUUAUAAGAAGAUAUAAGAUUGUAUAAAGUGAAAAUAGAAGAGUGAAGUUUACUUUGAAAUUAUUUUCACCUGAUAAAAAAAAAGGUAUUUUAGAAAAAAAUAACUUAAAAGUGCAUAAACUUCUAAAAAUUUCAAAAUUUAUAAAAAUAAAUUUAAUUUAAAUCUACCUUAUUAAUUUGAUAUUUUGUUACGUUCUAAUAUGAAGAUUUAUCGUUAAUUGUUGCUAGUCUCCCUAAAAUUAUUAUAGGAUUCUCCAUUAAGAGGGUGUUUGAUAAAACUUAAUAUUUAUUAUUUAAUAACUUAAGUUAAUUUUAACUUAAAUUGUUUUUAAAUUAUUGCUUAAAACUUAUUACGUAUUUUCUACUUUAAAAUUUUCAAUUGCUUGAUAAAGUUAAGUUAAAAUUGAUUUCAAAUCAUCAAAUUGACAUAUUUAUCCUCAUUAAUUUUAACUAAUAUAUAUCUUGUUAAUUUUAAUUCAUAUAUUUUUAAUUAAUUUUAAGUAAUAAAUUUAUUUAUAAAGCAUUCAUAUUUAAAAUAUUUCAAAUAAAUAUGGACAAAUAAAAUAAAAAAUAUUUGAGAUUAAGAAUAAAUUAAUUAUUUUAACUUAAUACUUAAAGUCAUUUUAAGUUUUAAGUUGUAAUAUUAAGUUAUUUUAUUAAACAUAUUUAAUUUAUUUAAUAUUAUUUUAAGAAUACGGUUUGAUAAUGAUUUCAUUUGGAAAGUGUUUUUAGUCCUGUCAAACGCACUUCAAGUUGAUUUAUCAAACACCUAUAAGAUCAAAAGCUGUUAUGGUUGCCUUAAAAAAUUUAGAACAAAGAAAGUAAGCAACCGGGAGAUAAUCAUUGAUGAUUACUGCAUUUAUUUACAUAUCCAUCGGGUGAAUAGGGAUGAGAUUAUCGUUUUGAAUUCAAAUAGAGUUUGAUCUUCGUUCAACCAACAAAAAUUCAAAAACUAUAUUUUGCUCCAGAAAACAAAAGCAUUGUGGCAUCAUUAUGAUAUUCGCCCAUUUCUGUUUUGAUAAAUAUUAUAGUAGAAACCACUCGAUUCUUGACCACAGCUUCUCAAAAUGAAAAAGAUGCUUGCGGACGCGGUAUAUGUAUGAACUGUAGAGUACAGCAGCCAACGUCACCGCAGAAAUGGAUAACAACGUCAACUUCCAGAAGUCCUGAUAAUGAUCAAAUAAUUCAAACCAAAUCAGAUCAAAUUACAAAGUGAGAUAUAGCAAUCCUCAAAGAUUGAUCACCUGUGGAUUAGAUAUGAUUAUUCCCAUGACAUAAGCCAUCAAAUCUAAGUAAGACUGGAGCGAGUUUUGAACACCUCCCACAACACAACGAUCAGAUUCAGGAACAUGAUCCUGUCCACAAAGGGGGAAAAGAAGAGGGAAGAUUUAUAACUUGAAGAAAAGAUUGAAGAAAGGCAAAGUCAGAUUGCCUACUCAACACAUCAUCUAAGAGAGCUUGUAAUGGUUCAGCAUUAGUGGUUUUCUUUUUCACCUGCAUUUGUUGGAUGACAGACAAGUCAAACAUCCACAAUCCCAGACGCGAAGUUGCCACUCCAACCAUCAGCAGAUAUGCUGAUGUAAUAUGGUUUUGGAUCCAUAUCGAAGCAAUACAUAUGAGGAGGAAGGCCCACUGCAACAAAAACACACAUUUAUCAAAAGUUUUUCGCACAAAUAGUGGUCAGCAAGGGGUGACUGGUUUCUAGGCAGUAACUUCAAGAAUACACUAACAUUUUAACCACUGAAGUUGAUACCUGAGACCAGAUAGACCAGAGUCCAGUUCGAAGUAUUGAGAUGCGAGAUUGUAAGAUUGGGUACACAAAUGUUGCAGCUAUUCCAAUUGUAGCGCUUAUUCCACGCCCUAUUCCGAUAAUAUAUGCAGGUAUACCUUCCCAUUCCAGGGCAGCUGUCAUCAGAGUCCCAAAGCUGGAGAGACAAAUUCAGUGUGUCUACUUAAUAACUGAUAGGAAACAGCAGCCGAAGCCAAAAGACAGUAUGAUGUAAAUGUCAGGAGGGUAUGUUUGGAAGAAGCUUCAAGAAGUGAUAGUUUCUUAUAGCCGCAGAAGUUUGCCAUGCAACAUGAAUUCCUACUUCUUGAGAGGAAUUAUGGAUAGGCAAAUUUAGCUAACAUCAUCAUUUCUGUGCUUCAAUCUUCAAAAUUUCUUUGGAAAGAAAGCAAUAUAAACUGCAAUAAUUAAAUAUCCCUUGAAGUUUUAUCCAAACAUGCCCACUAAACAGGGUAUUUAGCAAUGUCCAUUAAGGGUAGUCACCUGAGAACAGUGAAAUACAGUAAUGCUAGAGCUAGUCCUGGCAGCACCACAUCUUGCUGUAAGUACACAGUCCAUGCAGAAAUGGAGAGGGCCUUCCAAACCCAUUCAAUCAUUUUCCUUUUCCAGCUGUUUUCUGCCAAUGCUGAAUCGCCUCCAUCAAAGGAAGGUGAGCUCUUUAUCUCUUGAUCAGCAGAUGUACUCUCCCCUGGAUCACCCUGUGAAAUUUUAGAGAUCUUUUUCUGGCUCCUUUCACUUAAUGCUGGAAUUCCAUUAUAUACAGAUGUUAGAAGCCAAUACUCCAACCAGAUCGAUAGAGUGUUCCAGAUUGCUAAAGUCAUAGCAGAUGCUUUUAAUGAUACAAAGCUGAUAAGGAGGCCAGUAACUACAGGAGCAAAUAACUUGCAGGUUAAAUCGAUACGUCUUAUUACUGAAUUCAACUUUGUUAGUACUCCCGGAGGGUGGCCUUCAGAAAUCACCACCACCCUGUAAUUUGAAGACAACUUUAACAGCAUCAGAUUGAUUCAAUAAGGAAAGUAGUGCAAAAGAAAUUUUUGGAACCAUACAAUCCUUCGAGUUUGGAAAUGAAAUCCCAACUUUGUGACCGCUAAAAUAAUUAUAAAAUUCGGUCAACUUUCUAUUUUCUUAUAAGCAUGUAUGCAAUUACCACU